GUGAAGCACUGAGGCAUGAGAACAUGAAGCCUGCAGGUGUCCAUGUGAGACCAGGGCCAGGGAGGGGAUAUAGGCUCUGAGGGAGCACGUACCAGGGGCCCAGAUGUCUGUAGGACGAGUGUCACAGAAGCUUCUUGGAGGAGGCGGUGGCUAAGCUGAGUUCUACAGGGAAUGCCUUCCAGGGAACAGCUGGAAACAGAAGGACCCCGGGAUUCCCCCUGCUCUGGGCUCUCAGGCUCCCCUGCAGGAUCGCAGCAUUGCCUGCAGGCAGAUGCCAGAGACUGGACUCCUUCCAUGAGUACAGGAACCACAUCUGCUUUGCUCACCACUCCAUGCCCAGUGUACCCGGCACAGGGUCUGGCACCUACACUGGGGCUCCUGAUUAACUGUGGGAUGACCGAAGGAACAAUGACUGGUUUACAUCUUCCAGGAGGCCAUCUCUGUGACCUCUCCUGGCCCUGGUCGAGCUCCUGGUCUUCCCUGUUUCCCUUCCCUGGGCCCCGCAAACAACUCAGUGGGAGCACUCAACCAGGUGCUGGGUGAUUUUCUUGCCUUCCUGUCUCUUCCUCCAGUGUGUGGCCUCCUCCAGUCCUGAGCCCGGCCUCUCCCCUCAGCCGCUCCAGCACGCACAGGCCCGGGCAGCUCAAUAAAUGUUGACUGAACUGUUGAACUAAAC
ensembl:lncRNA